rnacentral:rRNA from 1 species
UACGUAGGGUGCAAGCGUUGUCCGGAAUUAUUGGGCGUAAAGAGCUCGUAGGCGGUCUGUCGCGUCGGCUGUGAAAACCCGGAGCUCAACUCCGGGCCUGCAGUCGAUACGGGCAGACUGGAGUUCGGCAGGGGAGACUGGAAUUCCUGGUGUAGCGGUGAAAUGCGCAGAUAUCAGGAGGAACACCGGUGGCGAAGGCGGGUCUCUGGGCCGAUACUGACGCUGAGGAGCGAAAGCGUGGGGAGCGAACAGGAUUAGAUACCCUGGUAGUCCACGCCGUAAACGUUGGGCGCUAGGUGUGGGGGCCAUUCCACGGUUUCCGUGCCGCAGCUAACGCAUUAAGCGCCCCCCCCUGGGGAGUACGGCCGCAAGGCUAAAACU